GCCUUCUGGACUGACACUGACACUGAGGUGCGAAAGCGUGGGUAGCAAACAGGAUUAGAUACCCUGGUAAUCCACGCCGUAAACGAUGUCGACCAGCCGUUGGGUGCCUAGCGCACUUUGUGGCGAAGUUAACGCGAUAAGUCGACCGCCUGGGGAGUACGGCCGCAAGGUUAAAACUCAAAUGAAUUGACGGGGGCCCGCACAAGCGGUGGAGCAUGUGGUUUAAUUCGAUGCAACGCGAAGAACCUUACCUACUCUUGACAUCCUGCGAACUUGUGAGAGAUCACUUGGUGCCUUCGGGAGCGCAGAGACAGGUGCUGCAUGGCUGUCGUCAGCUCGUGUUGUGAAAUGUUGGGUUAAGUCCCGUAACGAGCGCAACCCUUGUCCUUAUUUGCCAGCGGGUAAUGCCGGGAACUCUAAGGAGACUGCCGGUGACAAACCGGAGGAAGGUGGGGACGACGUCAAGUCAUCAUGGCCCUUACGAGUAGGGCUACACACGUGCUACAAUGGCCGGUACAAAGGGUUGCGAGCUCGCGAGAGUCAGCUAAUCCCGAAAAGCCGGUCUCAGUCCGGAUCGGAGUCUGCAACUCGACUCCGUGAAGUCGGAAUCGCUAGUAAUCGUGAAUCAGAAUGUCACGGUGAAUACGUUCCCGGGCCUUGUACACACCGCCCGU
rnacentral:rRNA from 1 species